GACGAACGCUGGCGGCGUGCUUAACACAUGCAAGUCGAACGGUGAAGCGCCUUCCUUUUUGGUGGGAGUGGAGGGGCGGCGAACGGGUGAGUAACACGUGAGUAACCUGCCCCCUUCUUCUGGACAACCGCAUGAAAGUGCUACUAACACGGGAUAUUCUGGGCCUGUCGCAUGAUGGGUCUGGGAAAGAUUUUGUUUCGGUGGGGGAUGGGCUCGCGGCGUAUCAGCUUGUUGGUGUGGUGACUGCUUACCAAGGCGGUGGGGGGCAGCCGGCCUGGGGGGGUCGCCGGCCCCAGUGGGGCUGCGCCACCGCGCCGCCUCCGACGGGAGGCAGCAGUGGAGAAUAGUGAACAGUGGGAACAAUCCUGGAGCAGCGGCGCGGCGUGGGCGAUGGAGGCCUGCGCGUUGUGACCCUCUUUCGGCAGUGAACCAGUCCUGCCUCGUUUGUGGGUGGGUUGACGGUAGCUGGUCAAGAAGCGCCGGCUAACUACGUG
rnacentral:rRNA from 1 species